ACAUACGACAGAUGAGGCGGAUGGUGCAGGCUACAGUGGUGCCGUGACCCGGAUCCACACUGCUUCGGACAAGUUCACCGUGGUUCGAGAAGAGUGGAUCAAUGUCAACUGGUCACCUGAGUUCGCGCCGAGCUGCGCUGGGGAGAGGUCUGUGUGGGGAGGCCGGAGCCUGGGAACUGCUGUGCUGAAUGCAUUUUUAUUUUGAACAGAAUAAACCCGCCUUCCUGCUACAAAA